GGAGGAGCUCGUUAUAAUGCAUUGGCGUGACUAUCUACAAGAGUGCGAAGCAAACUGCUUUGCCAAUGUUUCAGAGCCUCUUGUAUCUUUGCCGAUGAUUAUGAUUUUUGCAACUG